CGGCGAGUGAAGCGGCAACAGCUCAAAUUUGAAAGCUGGCCUUCGGGUCCGCAUUGUAAUUUGUAGAGGAUGCUUUGGGGCAGCCGCCUGUCUAAGUUCCUUGGAACAGGACGUCAUAGAGGGUGAGAAUCCCGUAUGUGACAGGACAUGGCACCCUAUGUAAAGCUCCUUCGACGAGUCGAGUUGUUUGGGAAUGCAGCUCUAAAUGGGAGGUAAAUUUCUUCUAAAGCUAAAUACCGGCGAGAGACCGAUAGCGCACAAGUAGAGUGAUCGAAAGAUGAAAAGCACUUUGGAAAGAGAGUUAAAAAGCACGUGAAAUUGUUGAAAGGGAAGCGCUUGCAAUCAGACUUGUUUAAACUGUUCGGCCGGUCUUCUGACCGGUUUACUCAGUUUGGACAGGCCAGCAUCAGUUUCGGCGGCCGGAUAAAGGCCCUAGGAAUGUGACCCCCUCUUCGGAGGGGGUGUUAUAGCCUGGGGUGUAAUACGGCCAGCCGGGACUGAGGUCCGCGCUUCGGCUAGGAUGCUGGCGUAAUG
rnacentral:rRNA from 1 species